rnacentral:rRNA from 1 species
GACGUAGGGUGCAAGCGUUGUCCGGAUUUAUUGGGCGUAAAGAGCUCGUAGGCGGCUUGUUGCGUCGACUGUGAAAACCCGCGGCUUAACCGCGGGCUUGCAGUUGAUACGGGCAGGCUAGAGUUCGGUAGGGGAGACUGGAAUUCCUGGUGUAGCGGUGAAAUGCGUAGAUAUCUGGAGGAACACCGGUGGCGAAGGCGGCAUCCUGGACCGGUAUUGACGCUGAUGCGCGAAAGCCAGGGGAGCAAACGGG